rnacentral:lncRNA from 1 species
AUAAUAAAAACUAGAAUUAAGACCCAACUAGAACGGGGGAUGUAAUAACGACAACAAAGUUUUGAGGAAAAUUCACAGGACUUGUUUUAUUGAAGAAUUCCAGAACAUCAGAGGGACAGACACGUCAGAGAACCGCUCAUCUAAAAAAACAUGUGUUAGAAAACCAGCAAGAUGGAGAGCUGUCACACACUACUGCUGUGGUCGCCUAGGAGACACGCAUGUCACUGUUACCGGAUCGUCUAGGAGACACGCAUGUCACUGUUACAGGGUCGCCUAGGAGACACACGCAUGUCACUGUUACAGGGUCGCCUAGGAGACACACGCAUGUCACUGUUACAGGGUCGCCUAGGAGACACACGCAUGUCACUGUUACAGGGUCGCCUAGGAGACACAAGCAUGUCACUCUGUCCAGAAUGUUUCUCAUGAUCCUCUUCCUCUUUCUUAUUGGACAACACACUUUCAACACGCUUAGAACAUGUUUAAUGUAAAAACAGGAACAUUUAGACAAAGCAAGGGAACGUCAGGGAGAACCGUUAAUUAACCAGGAAUAAGGUAGAACCCUAGGAGAACCAACUGUGGAGGAGGGGGGCACAGGAACACAAGUCACUAUGGGACGGGACGCGCUUUGCUUCCUACACAAUCAUGAAAUGCUGUUUAAUUAAAAAAGAUUUUAGUGUGUUCAUCUUGCCUGCAGACACUUUGUUGAUAUGACCACUGCAGAUCUACAUUAUAUUACUCAGCUUUGCUUUGUGCUAAAAAUCUGUACGGAUAGUAGAUAGUAUACUUAUAAAAUCACUGAUAAAAAUAUUCCUCUGUUAACAAUCUGGUUGGUCUUAGCGCCUCCGUUCUCAGAGUGGUUCUCCUCAGCGGCCUCUGCGUUCUCCUUCGCUGCUGCCUUCUUAGUUUUCUUCUCCUCCUUCUUGUCAUUCACAGCCUUCUCUUUCUGGAUGGGGGGAUAACAGACAUUAUCCUCAUCUAUACUGGGCUCCCGAAUGGCACAGUGGUCUAAGGCACUGUAUCUCAGUGCUUGAGGCGUCACUACAGACCCUGGUUCGAUUCCAGGCUGUAUCACAACUGGCCGUGAUUGGGAGUCCCAUAGGGCGGCGCAUAAUUGAUCCAGCUUCGUCCGGUUUUGGCCAGUGUAGGACGUCAUUGUAAAUAAGAAAUUGUUCUUAACUGACUUGCCUAGUUAAACAAAGGUUACGCUUAAAAAUGUAAAAAAUAUGUACCAUGACUACUAUAUGCCUGCUCUUUCUAGAGAGUGGGUUUAUAGUUCUGUUUUUUGCGAUGCUUCUGGGGUUUGUAGUUCUGUAAUGCGAUUGCUCUAGAGUUCUAUACUGAACAAAAAUAUAAACACAACAUGUAAAGUCCAAUGUUUCAUGAGCUGAAAUAAAAUGUCCUAGAAAUGUUCCAUACGCACAAAAAGCUUAUUUAUCUCAAAACAGCAUGAUAAUUACAUAGGUGAGCCUUGUGCUGGUGACAAUAAAAGGGCACCUUUUUAUUUUGGUCACACAACAAUACCACAGAUGUCUCAAGUUGAGGGAGCGUGCAAAUGGCAUGCUGACUCCAGGAAUGUCCAACAGAGUUGUUGCCAGAGAAUUUCUCUACCAUAAGCCGUUUUAGAGAAUUUGUCAGUACGCCCAACCGGUCUCACAACUGCAGACCACAUGUAACCACACCAGCCCAGGACCUCCACAUCCGGCUUCUUCACCUGCGGGAUCAUCUGAGGAGUGGAAGGAGGGUGCUGAGGAGUAUUUCUGUCUGUAAUAAAGACCUUUUUGGGGGAAAAACAAAUUCUGAUUGGCUGGACCUGACUCCCAAGUGGGUGGACCUAGCUCCCAAGUGGGUGGGCUUAUGCUCUCCCAGGCCCACCCAUGCCUGCGCCACUGCCCAGUCAUGUGAAAUCAAUAGAUUAGGGCAUAAUGAAUAUAUUUCAAUUGACUGAUUUCCUUCUAUGAACUGUAACUGUAAAAUCUUUUGAAUUGUUCCAUGUUGUGUUUAUAUUUUGGUUCAGUAUAUUAUGUGCAACCCUGGAGUUUGAAGUUCUGUAAUAUGAUUGCUCUAGCGAUUGUAGUUCUAUUAUGUGCAACCCUGGGGUUUGUAGUUCUGUUCUCUUACCUUUGCUGGUUUCUCCUUCUUGGCCUUGGGUUCAGCCUUGGCUGGGGCUGGCUUCUGGAGAGAGAGAACAAACAUCAGUCUCAUGUGUUCUACAACCACUGAUCAUUCCUAGUUCUACUGACCAAUAGGAGCUAGGGCUUCAGUGGGACUUUACUGAGAGUUAUAAACUGGUUCAGAGUUCUGUAACCUGUUAAAUAUGUAAUACAUGUGGAAUUAGCUGGUUUAGAGGUGAUAAGUGUAGUAGUGUAUGAUGCUUUAAGAAGGGUUCGUAUGUAAUACAUGUGGAAUUAGCUGCCAUGUCAAAUCAAAUUGUAUUCGUCACAUGUGCCGAAUACAACAGGACAGUGAAAUGCUUACUUUCAAGCCUUUAACCAACAAUGCUUUAAGAAGUUAAGAAAAAAUAGAAAAUAAAAAGUAACAAAUAAUUUAACAGCAGCAGUAAAAUAACAAUAGUGAGGCUAUAUACAGCGGGUACCGGUACAGAGUCAAUGUGCGGGGGUACACUGUCACGUCCUGACCAGAAAAAGGGGUUAUUUGUUAUUGUAGUUUGGUCAGGGUGUGGCAGGGGGUGUUUGUUUUGUGUGUUUCGGGGUUUAUGUUCUAUGUUUUCUAUUUCUAUGUGGGUUUUCUAUUUUUUCUAUUUCUAUGUUAGUUUUGGGAACGACCUCCAAUUAGAAGCAGCAGGUUGUCGUUGCUUCUAAUUGGAGGCCAUAUUUAAGUGAGUUUAUUUUCUCUUGUGUUUGUGGGUGGUUGUUCCAUGUAUAGUCUAUGUACCUUACAGGACUGUUUUUCGUCGUUCUUUUGUUCAGUGUUCAUUUCUUUAAUAAAUCAAGAAGAUGAUUCACAUCCCAGCUGCAGUUUGGUCCGAUCAUUACGACGCUUAUGACAUACGUUACUGAGGUUAGUUGAGGAAAUUGAGGUAAUAUGUACAUGUAGGUAGAGUUAAAGUGAUUAUGCAUUGAUAAUAAACAGAGAGUAGCAGCAGCGUAAAAGAGGGGUCUGGGUAGCCCUUUGAUUAGCUGUUCAGGAGUCUUAUGGCUUGAAGCUGUUAAGAAGCCCUUUGGACCUAGACUUGGCGCUCCGGUACCGCUUGCCGUGCGGUAGCAGAGAGAACAGUCUAUGACUAGGGUGGCUGGAGUCUUUGAACGUUUUUAGGGCCUUCCUCUGACACCGCCUGGUAUAGUGGUCCUGGAUGGCAGGAAGCUUGGCCCCAUGGAUGUACUGGGCCAUUCGCACUACCCUCUGUAGUGCCUUGCGGUCGGAGGCCGAACAGUUGCCAUACCAGGCAGUGAUGCAACCAGUCAGGAUGCUCUCGAUGGUGCAGCUAUAGAACCUUUUGAGGAUCUGAGGACCCAUGCCAAAUCUUUUCAGUCUCCUGAGGGGGAAUAGGCUUUGUCGUGCCCUCUUCACGACUGUCUUGGUGUGUUUGGACCAUGAUAGUUUGUUGGUGAUGUGGACACCAAGGAAAAUUUUGCUCCCAACCUGCUCCACAGCAGCCCCAUCGUGGAGGGAGAAGUUGUUGUCCUUGCACCAUACGAUCAGAUCUGACCUCUUCCCUAUAGGCUGUCUCGUCGUUGUCUGUGAUCAGGCCUACCACUGUUGUCAUCGGCAAACUUAAUGAUGGUGUUGGAGUCGUGCCUGGCCAUGCAGUCAUGAGUGAACAGGGAGUACAGGAGGGGACUGAGCACGCACCCCUGAGGGACCCCUGUGUUGAGGAUCAGCGUGGCGGAUGUGUUGUUACCUACCCUUACCACCUGGGGGCAGCCAGUCAGGAAGUCCAGGAUCCAGUUGCAGAGAGAGGUGUUUAGUCCCAGGUUCCUUAGCUUAUUGAUGAGUUUUGAGGGCACUAAGCUGAGGUGAACACUAAGCUGUAGUCAAUGAAAAGCAUUCUCACAUAGGUGUUCCUUUUGUCCAGGUGGGAAAGAGCUGUGUGGAUUGCAAUAGAGAUUGCAUCAUUUGUAGAUCUGUUGGGGCGGUGUGCAAAUUGGAGUGGGUCUAGGGUUUCUGGGAUAAUGGUGUUGAUGUGACCCAUGACCAGCCUUUCAAAGCACUUCAUGGCGGCAGACGUGAGUGCUACGGGUCGGUAGUCAUUUAGGCAGGUUACCUUGGUGUUCUUGGGCACAGGGACUAUGGUGGUCUGCUUGAAACAUGUUGGUAUUACAGACUCAGUCAGGGACAGGUUGAAAAUGUCAGUGAAGACACUUGCCAGUUGGUCAGCACAUGCUUGGAGUACACAUCCUGGUAAUCCGUCUGGCCGUGCGGCAUUGUGAAUGUUGACCUGUUUAAAGGUCUUACAUCGGCUGUGGAUGUGAGUACGUAUGGUCACUGUGGGGACGACGUCGUCGAUGCACUUAAUUUGUAAGUCGCUCUGGAUAAGAGCGUCUGCUAAAUGACUUAAAUGUAAAUGUAUUGAUGAAGCCAGUGACUGAUGUGGUGUACUCCUCAAUGCCAUUGGAUGAAUACCGGAACAUAUUCCAGUAUGUGCUAGCAAAACAGUCCUGUAGCUUAGCAUCUGCUUCAUCUGACCACUUUCUUAUUGACUGAGUCACUGGUGCUCCCUGCUUCCUAUUUUUUACUUGUCAGCAGGAAUCAGGAGGAUACAAUUAUGGUCAGAUUUGCCAAAUGGAGGGUGAGCUUUGUAUGCGUCUCUGUGUGUGGAGUAAAAGUGGUCCAGAGUUUUUUCCCCUCUGGUUGCACAUUUAACAUGUUGGUAGAAAUGAGAUAAAACGGAUUUGAGUUUCCCUGCAUUAAAGUCCCCAGCCACUAGGAGCGCCACCUCUGGAUAAGCGUUUUCCUGUUUGCUUAUGGUCGUAUACAGAUCAUAAAGCAGGUCUACAGUGAUAAUGUGGUUUAGUGAUUGUAGCAGAGAUUAUAACGGUUUCAUAAAAUGGAUAUUAGCUGGUUGUAGCUGAGUUUGGUUUAUAUUGAUAGAUGUUAUGAAGUUAUAAAUGUGAAAUACUAGGGUGUAGUAUAUUAUCAGGUUAUAAAGGUUAUAAGCUAGUACAUGGCUAAUAGAUGCAUAAUAAGGAAUCUAUCAGUAUAUAAUACCCUGGGGUAUAGUUAUAAAGCAUGUGUAAUACCCUGGGGUAUAGUUAUAAAGCAUGUGUAAUACCCUGGGGUAUAGUUAUAAAGCAUGUGUAAUACCCUGGGGUAUAGUUAUAAAGCAUGUGUAACACCCUGGGGUAUAGUUAUAAAGCAUGUGUAACAACCUGGUGUAUAGUUAUAAAACAUGUCUAAUAAUAUGGUCUAGUUAUUGUAGCAGAUGUUAUUAAGGUGUACAUGCUGUUGGAGCGGAGUUUAAUUUAGCAUGUGUAAUUGCCCGGUGUAUACAGAGACAAUACAUGUGUAAUUGCCCGGUGUAUACAGAGACAAUACAUGUGUAAUUGCCCGGUGUAUACAGAGACAAUACAUGUGUAAUUGCCCGGUGUAUAUAGAGACAAUACAUGUGUAAUUACCCGGUGUAUAUAGAGACAAUACAUGUGUAAUUACCCGUUAUAUAGGGUGACAAUACAUGUGUAACUACCUGCUAUAUAUAGAGACAAUACAUGUGUAAUUACCCGGUGUAUAUAUAGAGACAAUACAUGUGUAAUUACCUGCUGUAUAUAGAGACAGUACAUGUGUAUAAGUGUAAAAUGAUUGUAUAGUGAUUGUAGCUGAGGAUAUGGAUGUGUCAUAAGGUAGUGUACAGGUCAUAUGAUACAUCAUCAGGCAGUGUACAGGAUAUAUGAUGCGUCAUAAGGCAGUGUACAGGUCAUAUGAUGCAUCAUCACGCAGUGUACAGGUCAUAUGACGCGUCAUAAGGUAGUGUACAGGUCAUAUGACGCGUCAUAAGGUAGUGUAUAGGUUAUAUGACACAUCAUAAGGUAGUGUAUAGGUUAUAUGACGCGUCAUAAGGUAGUGUAUAGGUUAUAUGACGCGUCAUAAGGUAGUGUAUAUGUUAUAUGAUGCAUGAUAAGGUAGUGUAUAGGUUAUAUGACACGUCAUAAGGUAGUGUACAGGUUAUAUGACGCGUCAUAAGGUAGUGUAUAUGUUAUAUGAUGCAUGAUAAGGUAGUGUAUAGGUUAUGUGAUGCGUCAUAAGGUAGUGUAUAGGUUAUAUGAUGCAUGAUAAGGUAGUGUAUAGGUUAUAUGAUGCGUCAUAAGGUAGUGUAUAAUGUCUCUAUCGUAGCUGGUCUCACCGCUGAUAACCGGGCGGAUCUCCUCUGGGGCUGCAACAGGAAGAGGAAGAGAAAACAUAUCACCACAGAAAAACACACGCUGUCAGAGAUCAACUAUGAUGAAACUGAGCUGACAAUACGAGUUCAUUUAUUGAAUAGUAAUUAUAGGGGAUGAGUUGUAGUCGAGGAUCUCGGUCUCACCUCCUCCUUGGUGUCCCCAGCGGCUCCCUGCUGAGGACAAACACAAACAACGACAAAUAAACAACUUUUAUCACAACAACAACACUUUAUUGGCUUUUAUAAGAGCAAGUAACAGUCUACUGUGGCUCAAAUUACAUAUUUCUUCACUGUCAAGGAAGACCCCAGAUAACUUUUCAAUUUCAAGAAAAAAGUAAAAAUGUCAUAGAUAAUGUUCAAAUAAAUGUGUUUUUAGAACCAUUAGAUUGAACUGUAAUGUAAUAUUUGAGUUUUGUUAACAGUUUAUAUGUUUUGGGACCAGUAACAGUGAAAGUUGGGGUCCUAAAGUAUCUGUCUGUCUUUCUCCACUCCAUCUCUCUCUUCUCUCUAUGAGCUCAG